rnacentral:lncRNA from 1 species
CAGGGAUCAGAACAGUGAAACUCAGGUUAAUGAGUAAAGAGUGAGAAUAUGUGUUUGUAUGUUUCUUAAUCCCAUCUACUAGGUGAUUACAAAACUCAUUCAAAGUUGAACACAGUAGAGGUAUUUCAAGUUGCUUUAGAGAGAGAAUUACACACACACAAAAAAUCUUUAGGAGCCAGACAACCACUGUGGACACCAAUAAGAGAGCUCCAACAUUGGUGAGGUAUAGACCCGUCAAAGUUGUUGGUAAUAACAGCAAGGUCCAUCUGGCAAGAUUGGUCACCUGUGGUGGAAGUGGUGGUGACAGCAGGGAUGCAACUGCAGCAAUCAAUGAUGAUGAUCUCACUAGGGUGGGGAGGUGUUAAAGGCAUCUUCACAGCAGCACAGUGCCCAGAAUGCCAAAGAGCAGCAGGAUGGAUCCAGCAUCCUCUCCUGAUAAAAGAGGGCUAGAAGACGGGAGGCUCCGGGAAGUCUACUGGAGUCAUGAAGACACUGAAAAGUGAUGAAUCCACAUAACCAUGACACUGGAAAUGAAGUUUGAGUGGCAGUCAGAAUCUGGGAGGAAGCAUUGCUAAGUGAAAAUCUUAUGGAGCUUGACUAAAAAUCCCUGUCAGGAACCGUCAAAAGCUGUGUCCCUGACAUGAAAAAUCUUGCUGGAAGUUGAGAGAGGUUUAUGCCUACUCCGUGAUCCGGGAACACAAGACCUUUACCAACCAAAAAAGUGGAUAGCUGUUCUUCUGCUGUGAAGGUUAAUAAAGAACGCCAGAAGUGCCAAGCAAUUAACAACCCCAGAAGCAACCCUUAACCAAUGAUUAAAUAAAGUGGAUGAUUACAUACCCAAGCUCCUUCAACUCCCAGGGACAUAAUUCUGAGCCCUGUCCACCACAGCCAGCUGGCUGAAGAGCUCAAAAGGCAAGAAAUCAGCAAGAGAGAGAGAUGAAGCAUGAGAAAUGAGCAAAAAACACCCAGCACAUCAUAAUCUUGGACAGUUUAGCAGUACAUGAAAAUAGAUGGUCCUCGCCCCAAGGGACUGCAGUAACCCUGAAUAAACAGGAUGUCUCUCACUUUUAGCAGUUCUUUCUGUGCUAGUAUUGGGGAAAUAUAUUUUUGGCUGCAUGCAAAAUGGUAAAAGACAUCUAUUAAGAAAAUGAAAACAAUGCUUCUGUUUUAGACGAAGCUUUUGAAGGUUUAAGGAUCACCUAUUUAUUGACAAAAUUGUUUCCGUGGCUUAAAAAUAAAAUACAAACAAAUACUACAGGUAUUCUUGCCUUCUCAUUCUACUUAAAAUCACAUUUCCAAAGACUUUCUUCUCUACUUAAAAACAGGAAUUAAGAAAUACUCAAAAGAGAUCCUAGACAAAACUAACAUUUCAGCAACCAAAGAUAAAUCAUGCUUUUAGAGGAAGAUGCUAGGUUCUAGAAUCUCUCUGAACACCGUGUAGCACUAAGAAACUACAAUCACUGGCUGAGACCUUGAUCAAAUAAUGGCUAACAUAUAAGAUGCUUAUUCUAGUCAGGCACACUUCUAAGAGCUGUAUAUCUGCUAAUUCAUUUAUUCUCCUAGGAUAUAAAGGAUCAGCAGAUCCUUCAGGCUCUGGUAUGUUCUGAGAUGAGUUAACCCAGAAAUUGUCAUCAAAAGACAGAUUCAGCAAAACGGAAA